UGCCCUUAGAGAAGCCAGUUUAGGAAAAAAAAAAAAAAAAAUCGGCUGUCUUCUACUGUGAGAUUUAGGAAUGCACCGAAAUAACUGCAAGGAAGCCUAAGAAAGCGCGGGGAGCCCAGGGCUCGAGGGUGAGAAAGAUAGACGGGAACCCCCUUAAGGAGAAGGAUCCGCUCCACCAGGAGCUUAAGAAGACAGGUCGGAGCCAACCCUGAAAAAAUAACGCGAAGGAAAGCCCUGGGGGACACCGUCAGAAACCAGGCCGUCCCCCCUCCUAGCGCGCCAGGAUGUCAAGUGUGUGUUAGAACAGCCUGGAACUGCUGGACAACUCUAGAGCCCUGCAACUAAAGUACACAAAAUAUUUUAAAGAAUUUGGGACUAACCCUCCAAGAAACCUGGAACCUCCUCCCGAGUCAUUUUCAGCUGUGGGCACUGAAGCUCAAGAAAGAAAACUGUUCUGAAGACAACAGAAGGACUCUACUUUCUCUGCCUACCUUUGCUAAAGAAAUACAUAGUAAUAAAAAAAGGCAGGGGGAGGAGAUGGGGGCCCACAUAAGGUGGCAGUUUGAACAUAAACAACUAGUCUUGCUCAACUGCAAAACUCAAUAAAAUACAGUUGUUUUAAAUAAAAUCUGUUGUUUUAAAGAUAUAAUCCACAAGGACAAGAUCCAAAGAAACAAUAGCAACAGUGUGGAAGUAAGAUGGACUGACUAGUAGAAAUUGUCUUGGCAAACCCAAGAAAGCUGACUCCUAAGACUACAAUUGUCAAGCUGCAACCAACCCAGUUUACACUUCAGAAU